CCAGAUACAUCACAAUAGCCUCUACUACGAGAGACAUGUGACUUUCUCUUUUAUCUGUCAAGCAAGAUAGUCUCUUAAGAACCUUAGCAUACAAUGUUGUUAAAUUUUGUUCCAUUUAUCUAAUGUGGAGGUUUCCUUUUGUAUUUUGUGGGAGAAAAAAUCAAUUGAGGUGAAUGUUUCCCUUCUCCCCAUGAGAGCAAUUGGUAGCAGCCAAGAGAGAACUCAUAAAUUUCAGGUUGUAAUAGACAACAUAUGGAUGAAAAUGUGGAUUAAAAGCGUCCAAAAGAUCAACCUAGAGCAGAUGGCCAGAAGAUAAAUACAGCAGAAUUUAGUUUGGUUGAUUAAAAGCAUUCUCAUUUACUUGUGUCACCAACAUAUCAAGGGGGCUGAGGCAAACAAAGUUCAAGGUGGAAGAACUAUCUUUGCACCCCAACAACACGUGGGGUAAGGUGUCGACACUCUAGAACGUCCAUUGGUUCCAACCUCUCUACAUUGGCUGCUAAAUCAGGACCCAUCAGUGACUCACUCCAAGCUCAGUAGCUCUCCUUUAUCAUGGGGAUAAAACCAUUGGCAUAGUGGUUUUAUAUUCAGUUAUUCUAUUUUUUACUAUGAGAAUGUACUCGCAUUCAACUUUCUCUCAUUACUGUUAAUAUUGAGUUUUCUCUUGUAUGAAAA